GUCUGUGUUCCUGUCACCUUGAAUGUGCCUGCUCUCCCCUGAUCUUGGAAGCUAGGCAGGGUCAGGCUUGGUUAGUACUUGGAUGGGAGACUGCCUGGGAAUACUGGGCAGUCUGUGCU
rnacentral:rRNA from 1 species